rnacentral:rRNA from 1 species
GAUGAACGCUGGCGGCGUGCCUAAUACAUGCAAGUAGAACGCUGAAGGAGGAGCUUGCUCUUCUGGAUGAGUUGCGAACGGGUGAGUAACGCGUAGGUAACCUGCCUGGUAGCGGGGGAUAACUAUUGGAAACGAUAGCUAAUACCGCAUGACAACAGUUAUUGCAUGAUAACUGUUUAAAAGGGGCAACUGCUCCACUACCAGAUGGACCUGCGUUGUAUUAGCUAGUUGGUGAGGUAACGGCUCACCAAGGCGACGAUACAUAGCCGACCUGAGAGGGUGCUCGGCCACACUGGGACUGGGACACGGCCCAGACUCCUACGGGAGGCAGCAGUAGGGAAUCUUCGGCAAUGGACGGAAGUCUGACCGAGCAACGCCGCGUGAGUGACGAAGGUUUUCGGAUCGUAAAGCUCUGUUGUAAGAGAAGAACGAGUGUGAGAGUGGAAAGUUCACACUGUGACGGUAUCUUACCAGAAAGGGACGGCUAACUACGUG